GACGAACCGUGCGAACGUUGUUCGGAAUCACUGGGCUUAAAGGGCGCGUAGGCGGGCUACCAAGUCUGCGGUGAAAUCCCCCGGCUCAACCGGGGAACGGCCGUGGAUACUGGGAGCCUUGAGGGAGAUAGGGGCAGGCGGAACUGAUGGUGGAGCGGUGAAAUGCGUUGAUAUCAUCAGGAACUCCGGUGGCGAAGGCGGCCUGCUGGAUCUCAUCUGACGCUGAGGCGCGAAAGCCAGGGGAGCAAACGGG
rnacentral:rRNA from 1 species